GUCAGAGAAGACAGGCUGUGCGUAGGACUUCGGCAGCAGGGUAUAGGGCCAUGCCGCCAUUGGUUGUCUUCAACCGACAUUGACAUUAGCCAUUCUGGACCUCUUCUUCUGGGCUGUCUAAUGAUGCUAGCGGAGGCUAGAUCUUAUAAUGAAAUGCUGCACAUACAGACUUAAAGCACCAUGAGCACGUCAGAUCAGUAAAGUGGUCAUGGUAGUUGGAGUAACCUUUUAAAUGC